CUUUUACAAUGAAGAGUUUGAUCCUGGCUCAGGAUGAACGCUAGCUACAGGCUUAACACAUGCAAGUCGAGGGGCAUCAUGCUUAUAGCAAUAUAAGUGAUGGCGACCGGCGCACGGGUGAGUAACACGUAUCCAACCUGCCGAUAACUCGGGGAUAGCCUUUCGAAAGAAAGAUUAAUACCCGAUGGCAUAAUAGAACCGCAUGGUUUGAUUAUUAAAGAAUUUCGGUUAUCGAUGGGGAUGCGUUCCAUUAGGCAGUUGGUGGGGUAACGGCCCACCAAACCUUCGAUGGAUAGGGGUUCUGAGAGGAAGGUCCCCCACAUUGGAACUGAGACACGGUCCAAACUCCUACGGGAGGCAGCAGUGAGGAAUAUUGGUCAAUGGACGAGAGUCUGAACCAGCCAAGUAGCGUGAAGGAUGACUGCCCUAUGGGUUGUAAACUUCUUUUAUAUGGGAAUAAAGUGGUCCACGUGUGGAUUUUUGUAUGUACCAUAUGAAUAAGGAUCGGCUAACUCCGUGCCAGCAGCCGCGGUAAUACGGAGGAUCCGAGCGUUAUCCGGAUUUAUUGGGUUUAAAGGGAGCGUAGGUGGACAGUUAAGUCAGUUGUGAAAGUUUGCGGCUCAACCGUAAAAUUGCAGUUGAUACUGGCUGUCUUGAGUACAGUAGAGGUGGGCGGAAUUCGUGGUGUAGCGGUGAAAUGCUUAGAUAUCACGAAGAACUCCGAUUGCGAAGGCAGCUCACUGGACUGCAACUGACACUGAUGCUCGAAAGUGUGGGUAUCAAACAGGAUUAGAUACCCUGGUAGUCCACACAGUAAACGAUGAAUACUCGCUGUUUGCGAUAUACAGUAAGCGGCCAAGCGAAAGCAUUAAGUAUUCCACCUGGGGAGUACGCCGGCAACGGUGAAACUCAAAGGAAUUGACGGGGGCCCGCACAAGCGGAGGAACAUGUGGUUUAAUUCGAUGAUACGCGAGGAACCUUACCCGGGCUUAAAUUGCAUUUGAAUA
rnacentral:rRNA from 1 species